CCUACGGGUGGCAGCAGUGGGGAAUAUUGGACAAUGGGGGGAACCCUGAUCCAGCCAUGCCGCGUGUGUGAAGAAGGCCCUCGGGUUGUAAAGCACUUUCAGUGAGGAAGAACGCCUGGUGGUUAAUACCCAUCAGGAAAGACAUCACUCACAGAAGAAGCACCGGCUAACUCCGUGCCAGCAGCCGCGGUAAUACGGAGGGUGCGAGCGUUAAUCGGAAUUACUGGGCGUAAAGCGCGCGUAGGUGGCUUGAUAAGCCCGUUGUGAAAGCCCCGGGCUCAACCUGGGAACGGCAUCCGGAACUGUCAAGCUAAAGGGGAGGAGAGGAAGGGAGAAUUCCCGGUGUAGCGGUGAAAAGCGGAGAGGUCGGGAGGAAUACCAGUGGCGAAGGCGGCCUUCUGGACUGACACUGACACUGAGGUGCGAAAGCGUGGGUAGCAAACAGGAUUAGAUACCCUAGUAGUC
rnacentral:rRNA from 1 species